rnacentral:rRNA from 1 species
AUGCGGUGCUACCAUGCAGUCGAACGAUGAAGCCUUUCGGGGUGGAUUAGUGGCGAACGGGUGAGUAACACGUGGGCAAUCUGCCCUUCACUCUGGGACAAGCCCUGGAAACGGGGUCUAAUACCGGAUAACACUCUGUCCCGCAUGGGACGGGGUUAAAAGCUCCGGCGGUGAAGGAUGAGCCACGCUGGCCUAUCAGCUUGUWGGUGGGGUAAUGGCCUACCAAGGCGACGACGGGUAGCCGGCCUGAGAGGGCGACCGSCCACACUGGGACUGAGACACGGCCCAGACUCCUACGGGAGGCAGCAGUGGGGAAUAUUGCACAAUGGGCGAMAGCCUGAUGCAGCGACGCCGCGUGAGGGAUGACGGCCUUMGGGUUGUAAACCUCUUUCAGCAGGGAAGAAGCGAAAGUGACGGUACCUKCAGAAGAAGCGCCGGCUAACUACGUGCCAGCAGCCGCGGUAAUACGUAGGGCGCAAGCGUUGUCCGGAAUUAUUGGGCGUAAAGAGCUCGUAGGCGGCUUGUCACGUCGGAUGUGAAAGCCCGGGGCUUAACCCCGGGUCUGCAUUCGAUACGGGCUAGCUAGAGUGUGGUAGGGGAGAUCGGAAUUCCUGGUGUAGCGGUGAAAUGCGCAGAUAUCAGGAGGAACACCGGUGGCGAAGGCGGAUCUCUGGGCCAUUACUGACGCUGAGGAGCGAAAGCGUGGGGAGCGAACAGGAUUAGAUACCCUGGUAGUCCACGCCGUAAACGUUGGGAACUAGGUGUUGGCGACAUUCCACGUCGUCGGUGCCGCAGCUAACGCAUUAAGUUCCCCGCCUGGGGAGUACGGCCGCMAGGCUAAACUCAMAGGAWUGACGGGGGCCCGCACAAGCAKCGGAGCAUGUGGCUUAAUUCGACGCAACGCGAAGAACCUUACCAAGGCUUGACAUAUACCGGAAAGCAUCAGAGAUGGUGCCCCCCUUGUGGUCGGWAUACRGGUGGUGCAUGGMUGUCGUCAGCUCGKGUCGWGAGAUGUYGGGUUAAGUCCCGCAACGAGCGCAACCCUUGUUCUGUGUUGCCAGCAUGCCCUUCGGGGUGAUGGGGACYCACAGGAGACUGCCGGGGUCAACUCGRAGGAAGGUGGGGACGACGUCAAGUCAUCAUGCCCCUUAUGUCUUGGGCUGCACACGUGCUACAWUGGCCGGUACAAUGAGCUGCGAUGCCGCGAGGYGGAGCGAAUCUCAAAAAGCCGKUCUCAGUUCGGAUUGGGGUCUGCMMCUCGACCCCAUGAAGYCGGAGUUGCUAGUAAUCGCAGAWCWGCAUUGCYGCGGUGAAUACGUUCCCGGGCCUUGUACACACCGCCCGUCACGUCACGAAAGUCGGUAACACCCGAAGCCGGUGGCCCAACCCCUUGUGGGAGGGAGCUUCGAAGUGAACCU